CCUAAAUGCUGGUUUCUUCAUCAAGCGGCGGAAUAACGCAUCAGGGCAGGUGACCCACGUCACCGGGGUGAUGCACUGGUGCUCGCCGGGGCGGGCGCUGUGCCUGCGGGAGCCGCGCGGCCGGCGCGGUGUCGGGGCGCCUCGUGGGGGCCGAGCCGCGCCCGCACGUCCCUCAGAACUCUCAGUGAGUGUCAGAUCAACACAUUCAUCCACCAUAUCCCGUGUGUAUAAGAACAAUCCAUCACUCCUGACCUAAUCCAGCACAGAACAGAACUUCUGGAAGAGGACUAAAGAAGAGAAAGAGUGGAAGUGUCACAUGCCCAGAGGAAAAUAGAUGCGACAGAGAUGAAUAAAACAAAACAAAACAAAAGGAAGAAAGCCAAGCUAAUCUGGGAGUUCCAUCACGGCUAAGAACGCAUCUUUGUUUUGUCACGCGGUUUCUAGCCCGGCUCAGACCUGGGCUGCGGCACCUCAGGCAUCUCCUUUCAUCUCUCGGCUUUUCUCCUGGCUCCCGGGCGCUUCUCGAGACUUUUUGGACCUGGACUGGUCCAUGGCAGAACACCUCUUUCCUGAGUCCUCCCUAUGCACCUGCCCAAAGCGGGGGAUUGGGGUGGCACUCUCCAAGAUGCCAGGCUCCUCAAAUGGAGCCAUCACCCCCUAGGCUGUACUUGGCAUUGUCUCCAAGGAGCCUGGGGAGGUAACCGGUUGGGGACUGAUUCACUUGGGAGGGAGGGAGCGAGUGCAGAUUGCAGAUGCUAUCUAGUCGGGCCAAGUCAACCUGGGGAAGGGCAGGUCUGUGUCUCAACUGGUUUAGGGGUGGGAGAGUGGGAUUGGAACUUUUACACCUUGCAUUCUUAGGACGUCACAAUGGUUUUCCCAAGGCCUCCUUAUCUGAGGGUGUUUACCUAUUCAACCAGCAUACGCAGGUUCAGGACUCCCACUUUGUCCGGGUUCUGUCCUCACAGGCACAGGAAGAUUAAUGCGAACAACAGGGUCUGACAAACCAAAACUCACAGAUAAGAGACUUGGGUUAUUAGGGCAGAUGCCAGAAGUCAUGGGAUCUUCACGGGGUGGCUGUAGGCUGAGCAAUCUCCCUCGGGAUGUGAGGGGGUGUAUUUCUGCGUUAUUGGUCAUUGAGAAAUUCCCUAAUCUUAGAGAGAAAAGGAAUGAAACCAAGGGCUUGAAUCGGAGUAUACGUAGUUGACCUAAUUAUAAGGUUGUCCAUCCAUCUGUUUAAUAAAUAGUUCCAUGAUGUGGGACGGCAAGGUCACUCAUAGCCCUGAACAUUAACAACGUUUUCCUAAGGUUCUGGAAAAAAAGUGGUAACCAUGUGUUCAGCUGCAGGCUUGUUCUGUCUCAGGCCUCAGGCUGACAUGAAUCAGAAAUAGAGGGAAAUGUGGAAGUGGCAUUGCAAAUAUUAGUUCUAAAAACGGACUGGGAAGAGAGAGUGCCUCUAGACCCAGUCAUGGCCUAGCCAAGCCCCAGAAGAAUGACAUCACCCAUUGUGCCUCGUGGGGAGCCCCUGAGGCUGUCAUGGAUUUGUAGUCCUAUGUGGGACAGCGCUGCUGACGCGGUUAUUUCCUGCACUAGACCUACCCUGUCAGCAAGACACUGUUUACAUGAGCUGAGUGCCAAGUUGCGGCACAUUAUGCACAAUCGCUUUUAAGUUCAAUUAAAUUAACGUUUAGAAACAUUGUAGAUAGAAAAAGCUAAAGAGCAUUUUAGCAAACAGUGAUUACCUAGAGAUGCAAGUGCUUUGAAUUUGAGCAUUAGAGAACUUGUGAAUUUGUAGGAGUUAAGCAGGACAAGUACCCAUCUAAUGAAUGUUCAUAAGGGAAGCGCGCGUGUAGGAGGCAUUUCAGGUAGCCCAGCGCAGACCAAGGAGGGAAGGAAACAGAUAAGAUGUCAGAAAACAUCUUCAAAUACCCAGAGUUGUUAUCCCCUCCACGAAACAUUGGAGGGCGAAUUGUUUGGGUCAGUAAAAUAGAAUCAUAAAGUGUGAAGAAGAAACCUGUGGAACAUUCUGGAAGAAUUGGUCAGAGAUGAGCCACCGCACCCAGCCCCCAUUCACUUUUGUUUUAGGAAAUGAGAAAGCUUCUGCCUUUUUUCUUUCCUUCCUUCCUUGGAUGUUAGUUAAGAUCAGUGAGGUAAUGGUGAUAAAGUACUUUGAAUUACCUCAAGGAGAGUGCAGCCCAACUUGUUAUUAUUUACCUAGGUCAGUUCACAAACCCCCACGAUCUAGGGUUCCUGUCUCCUGCCCUGGGGAUGGUGCCUGGGAGAAAGGAGAUGUCACAGACCCAGUCCCACAGGGCGCUGUUGGCUGGAGUUGGUCAUUCCUUACUUUGACAUCAACAGGCUUAUCUCUAGAAAUAGGCUAAAUGGUAGCUCAGGCGCCGGUGUUGCCUCAUCCCGCAAACUCCCAGGGAGGCUGCCUACUUCCAGCCCCUGUUCUGGGAACUAAUGAUAGGUGGGAUGAAAAGACUGUUUCCUCUGAUGCGCUUUUAUGAGUUGUUUUCGAAGAUGAGGUGGCAAGGACAUGGUUAACCCGCUCCCUUGUGCAGGGAGACAUCAGAAUGACAGGGCACGGGGAAUCUCCCCAACCCGUUCCCAGGAGAGCUCUUGCCGAGGACGGCCCAGCUGUUAGCCAGAAAUCAAGGCAGCCUCAAGCCCUGUAACCCAGAUAUCAGUGGGCUUUUUCGGCUGACGGUGCUGUGGCCUGCGGCAGGCGGCAGUGUGGGUAGAGGACAGCUGUGGCUGAGGCCGGCAGCUCUUUCCACACGACUUCUUGGGUAAUGGCUCUUCUUAAGCCUGUGAUAUUUAGGGAUUGUCAAACUUCCCUUUCAUCCUGAGCCACCUUCCCUCAUGGGUAGCAGAGGAGUUGGAUUUCUUUCUUUUCUUUUCUUUUUUCUUUUUCUUUUUCGACAGAGUCUUGCUCUGUCGCCCAGGCUGGAGGGCAGUGGUAUGAUCUCUGCUCACUGCAACCUCCACCUCCCGGGUUCAAGUGAUUCUUCUGCCUCAGCCGCCCGAGUAGCUGGGAUUACAGGCACGCACCACCACGCCCAGCUAAUUUUUGUAUUUUUAGUAGAGAUGGGGUUUCACCAUGUUGGUCAGGCUGGUCUCGAACUCUUGACCUCAGGUGAUCCACCUGCCUUGGCCUCCCAAAGUGCUGGGAUUACAGGCGUGAGCCACCAAGCCCGGUCAAGGAGUUGGAUUUCUUAUGACAAGAGUAUUAUGGCUGUGUGUCCCAGAGGAGGCACUGUGUCCUCAUGAGGGUCCUUCACUGAAAGGAGAGCCUCGAGGACAAAGGAAUCUUCUAGAGACGACGUUGGGAGGGAGGAGUGGAGUUUGCAGGUGACUCUAGAGGACCCCAAAGUCCAGUGGGAGCUCAUUACCUCCUCGAUAGGAGGAGCCUGUUGUUGUAUGAGUGAGGAAAGGUGGCAGAACCGAGGCUGAGAGAGGCUGCGAAGAUGCAGCAGCAGUGCUGAGGCCUGAGAGGAGGACACGUUCUAUUACGCCAAUUAAUUCUACCCACCGAAAGGGCACAUCACAUUUUUGGGGUUGCCAAAAGCCGUUCUUAGCAGUAAAAAGUCUGUGAACUGCUGCACUGGGGAUUGGCAAAGGCUUGGUAGCCAGCGCAUUGAAGAGGGAGGGACAGCAAGCCUCACACCGGGAGUGGAUCCUUCCUGUGUUUCUGCCACCACAGUUUGCCAGUUUGAUGCCAAGGGACUCUUACUGUUUAUGUGUGCAUGUUUGUGCUGUUAGAUUAUCUUCUGAGCAAUUUCAAGUUUUAAGAAUAUGUUGGUGAAGUCAACAAUGAACAAUUCCAGGAGACUUGGUUCCACCCGGGCCCUGCUCAGGAAAGAUGAGGAGCCCC
rnacentral:lncRNA from 1 species